rnacentral:lncRNA from 1 species
GAUCAGAAUCAGCAGGACAGAAGCAGCAGUUGGACGAUGUGCUUUGAAGACGGAAGAAGGGGCCACUAGCCAAGGAAGGUAGUUGGCCUCUAAAAGCUGGAAAAGCUGCUUGAAUUAUUGACACAGCCUCACCCAACAACAAGGGGCUCAGGUGUCCACUCCUCUGGAGAAGCGGAUAGUGAUGAACCACAAAAUUUGCACACUAUUGAGUGUCCUAAAUGUCCUGAACGUCCCCAAGUUCUUCAUCUCUAGGGUCAAUUUUCUCUUCAAUAUCUAACGACCAUAGUCCAAUCAUCCAUCUAGAAUUUCUGAAAGGUCCAGGAGAGAAAUGUCAUCUGUAAACCAAACCCAGGGGCUUUGACCAACCUGGAAAGAUUCCAAGACCUCAAUUUUGAUACUGUCGUAUGAGAUCUUGUAAAAGAUAUGGGUGGAACGAAUUCUGGGGCUGGCGGUUAAGUCCCAGAUAACUAGAUUAAGACUGUAGAACAAGGG